rnacentral:rRNA from 1 species
CCUACGGGAGGCAGCAGUGGGGAAUUUUGGACAAUGGGCGAAAGCCUGAUCCAGCAAUGCCGCGUGAGUGAAGAAGGCCUUCGGGUUGUAAAGCUCUUUUGUCAGGGAAGAAACGGUGAGAGCUAAUAUCUUUUGCUAAUGACGGUACCUGAAGAAUAAGCACCGGCUAACUACGUGCCAGCAGCCGCGGUAAUACGUAGGGUGCAAGCGUUAAUCGGAAUUACUGGGCGUAAAGCGUGCGCAGGCGGUUUUGUAAGUCUGAUGUGAAAUCCCCGGGCUCAACCUGGGAAUUGCAUUGGAGACUGCAAGGCUAGAAUCUGGCAGAGGGGGGUAGAAUUCCACGUGUAGCAGUGAAAUGCGUAGAUAUGUGGAGGAACACCGAUGGCGAAGGCAGCCCCCUGGGUCAAGAUUGACGCUCAUGCACGAAAGCGUGGGGAGCAAACAGGAUUAGAUACCCUGGUAGUCCACGCCCUAAACGAUGUCUACUAGUUGUCGGGUCUUAAUUGACUUGGUAACGCAGCUAACGCGUGAAGUAGACCGCCUGGGGGAGGUACGGUCGCGAGAAGUUAAAACGUUAAAAGUAAGUUAGUACGGCGUGAGACGUAGACCGACGGACGACGACGAGGGAGGAGG